UACGUAGGGGGCAAGCGUUGUCCGGAAUCAUUGGGCGUAAAGAGCGCGUAGGCGGCCCAGUAAGUCCGCUCUGAAAGUCAGAGGCUCAACCUCUGAAUGCGGGUGGAUACUGCUGGGCUAGAGUCCGGAAGAGGCGAGUGGAAUUCCUGGUGUAGAGGUGAAAUUCGUAGAUAUCGUAAGGAAGACCAGUGGCGAAGGCGGGUCUCUGGACAGUUCCUGACGCUGAGGCACGAAGGCCAGGGAGCAAACGGG
rnacentral:rRNA from 1 species